UACAGAUGAAUUUGUUAAUUUUUCAGCAAGCCAGUGUAAGGCAGAACAAUGAGGACAUGUUCGAUUCAUCAAGCCGAAGGAAUGACGAUCUGGAAUUUCAUGGUUUCGAGGAUUAAAUGCAACAUCCAUAGUUACGUCUUCUACUGUGUAGGCACUACAGAUAAAAUUAUAAAUGUCAUACAAUUUUUAAAAGGAGAACAUGAAUAAGACAGCAAGUGUGAGAAUAGAAAAUUAAAACUUAUAUCGAACACCUGGUGCCUUCAUUCGGAUUACACAUUUGUUGGAACAUGUUUGUCAUAUAUGAUGCCUUUGGGGAACGUGGGGAGAAUGGUUCCAAGACUGUUGUUAUGCUUUUGUAUAGGUUUUGAGGAGGCAUGUCUUGGAGCAUGGUAGUCACAGGCAACACCCUUGAGAUAUUUGUUGGUGUGCCUUCUUCAAGAUUUUGAGGAUUUUCUUGAUUCAUGAUGGCCACAGACAACCACCAUGAAACAAUUGUUGUAGUAUCUUCAUUAAGAUUUUGAAGUAAGGUGGUUGGCGAUGACUCUAAAACAUUUGUUGUCACUAUACUGUCUAUUACAGGUGGUUGAAGGCGGGACCUUUUAUUUGAUUCUCGUUCAAGGCAUGCUCGGCGAC
rnacentral:lncRNA from 1 species